rnacentral:misc_RNA from 1 species
AACAAACGCCCUCACGGGUGCUACCCAGAAACCCUUUGUGAAUUUUCUAUACUGUUGCCUCGGCAUGGACUGGCUUCGUCACGAAGUCCCUUUUUUUUCGAAAGAGAGAAGGAGCAGGUCGGCCGGUGGCCCUAUAAACUCUUMGUUUUUACUAUGUAUCUUCUGAGUAAACAACUAUAAAUGAAUCAAAACUUUUAACAACGGAUCUCUUGGUUCUGGCAUCGAUGAAGAACGCAGCGAAAUGCGAUAAGUAAUGUGAAUUGCAGAAUUCAGUGAAUCAUCGAAUCUUUGAACGCACAUUGCGCCCGCUGGUAUUCCAGCGGGCAUGCCUGUUCGAGCGUCAUUUCAACCCUCAAAACCUCGGUUUUGGUGUUGGAGGAAUACUUGUAAAAGAGUACCCUCUGAAAUUUAGUGGCGGGCUCGCUAGAAUUUUGAGCGUAGUAAUUUUAUACCUCGUUUAUUAAAGACUAGCGGUUGCUCUUGCCGUAAAACCCCCMAACUUUCUGAAAAUUGACCUCGGAUCAGGUAGGAAUACCCGCUGAACUUUAAGCAUAUCAAUAA